AAUUCUCAACCUCGGGGGUGCUCUUGUUAGCGCCCGCCGGGGCUUGGAUGUGGGGACCUUGCCGGCCGUUGCAGGCCGACUUCCCUGAAAUGCAUUAGCUCGAGGUUGACUCGGAGCGGUUCACGGCGUGAUAAGUAAAUGAACAUUACGUCCUGGUAAAUCCCGCCUCCGCUGUCUUAUUGGCCUCGGCUUCCAGACGUCUUCGGACAAAAUCAAACUAUGAAU
rnacentral:misc_RNA from 1 species